rnacentral:rRNA from 1 species
UACAGAGGUCUCGAGCGUUGUUCGGAUUUAUUGGGCGUAAAGGGCGCGUAGGCUGCGGGGUAAGUCAGGUGUGAAAUCUCAGAGCUCAACUCUGAAAUUGCACUUGAUACUGCUCUGCUAGAGGACUGGAGAGGAGAUUGGAAUUCACGGUGUAGCAGUGAAAUGCGUAGAUAUCGUGAGGAAGACCGGUGGCGAAGGCGGAUCUCUGGACAGUUCCUGACGCUGAGGCGCGAAGGCCAGGGGAGCAAACAGG